GGCUCAAACUCGUUUAGGGAGCCGUCGAAGGUGGGAUCGGCGAUUGGGACGAAGUCGUAACAAGGUAGCCGUACCGGAAGGUGCGGCUGGAUCACCUCCUUUCUAAGGAGUUUUUAUUAUCACACUGACUGCUUCCACAGUUGUGGGUGGUUGGUGUGGCUGUGAUUUUUGUUCAUGCACCUUAUGUGGUGUGUGGGUUGCAGCUGAUUAUUUUUUGUUUUUUUGGGUGUGCAUCCUUCUUUACACUUAGUUGGGUUUGUAUCAAAGGUUUGUUUGUGUGUUGGCGCGUUGUUGGGUGUCUCGGGCAGCACUGUGUGUUGUUCGUUGACCAUCAUUGACUGUGAGUGAGCAUGUUGUUGUUUGCUUGUGGUUGUGGUUGGUGUGGUGUGUGAGAACUGUAUAGUGGACGCGAGCAUCUGUACGCAUGAUGCGCAAUGUUUGUGUGUUGUGUGUGCUGUGAUUUUUUCUUUAUGUGUUUAUUUUGUUGUGUGUUGUAAGGGCGCAUGGUGGAUGCCUUGGCAUGCUAAGCCGAUGAAGGACGUGGAAGGCUGCGUUAUGCCUCGGGGAGUUGUCAAUCGAGCGUUGAUCCGAGGAUGUCCGAAUGGGGAAACCCGGCUGUGGUUAUUCGCAGUCACCUGCUGGUGAAUAUAUAGCCAGUAUGGGGGUUACGCGGGGAAGUGAAACAUCUCAGUACCCGUAGGAGAAGGAAACAAUAUGUGAUCUCGUGAGUAGCGGCGAGCGAAAGCGAAUGGUGGCUAA
rnacentral:misc_RNA from 1 species